rnacentral:lncRNA from 1 species
UUUUUAGCCGAACCGGCCGGUUCGGAGCCCGUACCGGCCGGUUCGGAGCCCGUACCGGCCGGUUCGGAGCCCGUACUGAUGCAUCUGGGAUUAGAUUGCAUGCUGGCCGGCAAGCUGAGUUGUUGAAUCAAAUAGUAUGCGAACUGCCACCGGAGCACCCUUUAUCUAGUGUUAGGCCUUUACGUGAACCUCUUGGACACACCCCACUUNNNNNNNNNNNNNNNNNNNNGUACCGGCCGGUUCGGAGCCCGUACCGGCCGGUUCGGAGCCCGUACCGGCCGGUUCGGAGCCCGUACCGGCCGGUUCGGAGCCCGUACCGGUGCGAACCGGCCGGUUUGCACCGGUACGUUUUUUUUUUUGGAACCACAGCGCCUCGCGCUGUGGUUUUUGAAACCACCGGUACCGGCCGGUACGUACUGUACCGGACCGGUACCGUACCGGUCCGGCUGGCCACCGGUACGCCGACCGGUACCGGUACGGCGGACCUUGAUAGAAACCUUUUAAUAUUAUUUAUUUCAUAGUCUCAAAGUUCAAGUUUAUUAGAGAUGAUACACAUAUUAGAUAAACCCAGAAAUAUAUUCUUGACAAUAAUCAUUUUGUCUCAUCAUUCAUAAACAAAACUCACUUAGAAGCAUCCUCUCAAAGCUAGGGUAAAUUCUUGGUGGAGAAGCUUAGGAAUUUAAUAUCAAGCUCCGUAACAGUACAGAGAAGAGAAUGAAAAUUAUAGAGCUCUUGAAUGUGGUGACUUCAGCAAUUGUUGGGACUAUAUGCAGCGAAGUGCUUAAUGGUAGAAAUUUACAUAUUUUACUGAUAGACAAUAAUUUUAUUUUGAUGUAAUUUGCAAUGCUCUUUCCUCAAUUGACCUUGCCAUUUCUUGUUCAGUUUGUGACUACAAUUCUCCAUAAAAACAUCCCAUUUGUUAUAUUUAAUCAUCAUAGAAUAAAGUUUGAAGAUGUCCGUCCUUGUGAUUUUGCAAUUUCUACUUACAAAUGCUUUUUCCCCUGUUGUUUCUGAAAUUUCUGCAACAGCAAAAACUACGUAAUAUCUUCUUUGAUUAGCUUUCAAUCUCAAUCAUCUACAUUUUCCUGCAGGUAAUGUAUGAUGCAUCUGGGAUUAGAUUGCAUGCUGGCCGGCAAGCUGAGGUAAACUCUGCUAAGACAGAAAACUACUCUUAGUAGGAACUAGCUCUAACACAUAGUCAACAACUCUCCAGUCGUUAUACAUAAUAUAUGGAGGGUAUUUUGUAGUUUUCUCAGCAUGCAGAAAUAUGCAAGGAAUAUUACCAUCUCCAUAGUUCCAUCUGAUCUUUGCUAGGCCAAUCUGAACUCGUAUAUGCACAUCAAAUGAUGUCAUGUGUUUAUGUUACUCUGAUUCAAAAAUUUAAUCAGCAAUAAUUCUUGAUGAUAAACAAUAUCUGCGCCACUGGUUUUUAUGCGUGAUUACUGGAUUAUUCACUACAUGGCAUAUAGGUUCUAAGUAAUUGACUUGCAUGACUUGACAACUUAACAUUAAGUCAUUAACCACAACAACUAUAUGUUAUGACUCGACUGACAAUCGUCAACAAUGUCUCUUUAAAAAGUUUCUGGUUUAUUCAGCCAAUUAAGGUUCACCAAUGUCGCCAAAAGAAGCUGUGCUAGAAAUUCCAGUAUCAGUUCUAAUAGUCUUAAUGUUCAUACUGAAUUUGUUUGUAUUUCUUUAUAGUAAAAACUUCAUGUCUUUACAUGAGGUAUAAUGGAACAUCAUAGACUGUAAACAAUAUCUGCAGGAUCUUAGUUUGUGAAACCUGUAUUGUGAGAAAUGUUUGAAAGUAGACUUGAAGCUAUCUAGCGUUCUCCAACAUUUCUUAGAACCCCCAACCAUGAUCAUACAAAAUCGAAGUCUGACUCAGGUAAAUGCUCUCUAGAGGCUGGAUUAUAAAAAUCAAUUUAAAUAAAAAGAAAAAUAUAACUACUCUCAAUGACCUGCUGUGAGUAGUUUUGAGUUGUUUUGGUCACAAUUGGUUGAAAUAACCAAACAUGGAGUCCAUCACUCGAUAUUGGAUGAAACUAGAUAUGAAAUACCAGAAACUGCUUAGACUCAUGUGGUUUUAUAUUAAAUUUGGCCAAAGCCAAAGUGUUUCAGUUGAAAACUUGUGGUUCAGUGAGGGUGUCUCCAAAGCCUUUAAACAUAAGAAGCAGACUGAGAUAUUUGCAAACUGUAGCCUCUUUGUCCCUUAUCUGCUGUCUUAUAUUAAAAAAAUAAAAUUUCUACAUCUUAUAAGGCAUAUUUUACAGUGUUAAAUAGAUGUCUCAUUCAAAAUGAAGCAUAAAUACAUGAAUUUAUGAUAGUAUGCAUUUGGGAAGCAUAUUAUAAUAUUUUUUGUUGGCCAGCUGGAACCAAACUUAACUUUUUUACUCCAAGAUUCAUACCAGAUAUAAAGUGAGCUUUUUGAUUGCAUUUCCAGAAAUUUUAAAAGAUAACAAAUUAUAACAGUAUAGCCCCAUGGUAGUUUUAGGUGGUCUCCUCUUCUUGCCUUAUGAAGCAUCAUUGCUACUAGAAAACUGCUGAUAAUUACUGAACUGGUGGAUGCCCAUCGCACUCUAGUCUCACAUUCUUGAAAAUCCUUUGGUUUGAAACAUAUGAAAAUAAAUUUAAAUGUCAUGUCAAGUAAAUUCUCAUAUAUGAUUUUUGUUCCAAGUUAUAGUAUUUCUUGUAAUGUGCUUCAUGGCACAUUGAUUUCAUAAGAUGAACAGAGACUAUUAAGAUAACAUUCAGCAUCAGGUUAUUCGUGGAUUGUCCUAGUGUUAUUGAUUUAUGUUAGUUUAAACUUGUGAUUUUGUUUGCUAUUAGGUCAUCCUUUCUACACAACAUUUAAUAGAUCCAUAAUCUGAUCAUGUUCCGAAAUAAUAGAUGACUUGUAAAAUAAUUUUGUAAGGAAAUUUAUUCUGUGGUCAUUGCUGCAGUUGUUGAAUCAAAUAGUAUGCGAACUGCCACCGGAGCACCCUUUAUCUAGUGUUAGGCCUUUACGUGAACCUCUUGGACACACCCC